AUAAGUCGGGUCUAGCAGUCAGUUUUCAGCAAGUAUUCAAAUCUCUUUGUUUAUAUCCCACCAAAACCAUGUUCUUCAGAAUAAAUUAUUAUUCUUACUGCAACAGAAUAAACCAUGUUCUCUGUGCUAGUUUGUUUAAAUGUUUAUGCGAAAUCCUGCAGUACGAAGUUCCCCAACAUAUGUCAAACUAGGGACGCCGAUGAUGUUUGGAUUUGAGAUCUGGUAACAUUAUUGUCGAUAUUGAAUUAAUUGAUAGAGAUUUCGGAUACUUUUGUUCGGUUGUUGAGGCCCGUCCCUUCUCCCACGUCCUCUUCUGGUUCAGCUGUCCAAGUCUUCAAGUGUGAAGCACAGUUGCUAGGAGCUGGAGCUAGUGCUGAAAUGAGUGAUAUUUUGCUGGUUGUAUUUUGAGCGGAGCAUUUUAAAAGACUUGGUCUUAGAAUCUGAAAAAUAUUUGAAUAGUCAUGAAUCAAGAAGGGUGCUCAAGCAAAUAUAAGAAAAUAUCCAACCGCAUUCCAGCUGGAUCACUUGCAUCUUUGCGAAAUCAAAGGGUUUCGUCAUUGACAACAAAAAGAACCUUCCAAGCUACACGAUCUAAUACAAAUGAAGAACGACAAUCAGAAAGUGGAUUACCUUCAUCUUUGCGAAACCAAAAGGUUUCGUCGUUGACAACAAAAAUAUUUUUGAAAUCUAUAAGGUCAAAUGCAAAUUAAGAACGACAAUCCGAAGGUGGAUCUUAAUUGCAAGAACAAGUGCAGCAAGUGCCACAGAAUUGCACCUCUUUAGCAAUACAAGGAGUACAUGAACAAGUGCAACAAGCGAAUAUGGAUUGCAUCACUCCUGCAUCACAUGGAGCACAUGAACGAUCUGAUGAUUCUACCAAUCAUGAAGCAAUUGAACAAUUUGAGGAACAAGGCAAAUAUAUAUAAAUUGUAAUCAUAAACUUAACUAAAUAUAGUGAUUAAUGAUUAUCUUUGUUUUGUACUA